rnacentral:rRNA from 1 species
GCCUUAUACAUGCAGUCGAACGAAGUAGCAAUACUUAGUGGCAGACGGGUGAGUAACAUGUAGGUAUCUUCCCUUUGGUGAGGAAUAACACGAGGAAACUUGUGCUAAUACCUCAUAAGUCUUUACAGAGAAAGCUUUAUGCGCCAAUGGAUGAGCCUGCACUUGAUUAGUUUGUUGGUGGGGUAAUGGCCUACCAAGACUUUGAUCAAUAGCUGAUCUGAGAGGAUGAUCAGCCACAUUGGAACUGAGACACGGUCCAAACUCCUACGGGAGGCAGCAGUAGGGAAUAUUGCACAAUGGAGGAAACUCUGAUGCAGCGAUGCCGCGUGAGUGAAGAAGGCCUUUGGGUUGUAAAGCUCUUUCGUCGGGGAAGAAAAUGACUGUACCCGAAUAAGAAGGUCCGGCUAACUUCGUGCCAGCAGCCGCGGUAAUACGAAGGGACCUAGCGUAGUUCGGAAUUACUGGGCUUAAAGAGCACGUAGGUGGUUAAGAAAGUUGGUGGUGAAAUCCCAAGGCUUAACCUUGGAACUGCCACCAAAACUUUUUAACUAGAGUAUGAUUGAGGUAAGCGGAAUUUCUAGUGUAGAGGUGAAAUUCGUAGAUAUUAGAAAGAACACCAAUUGCGAAGGCAGCUUUCUGGAUCAUUACUGACACUGAGGUGCGAAAGCAUGGGUAGCGAAGAGGAUUAGAUACCCUCGUAGUCCAUGCCGUAAACGAUGUGUGCUAGACAUUGGGAAUUUAUUUUUCAGUGUCGCAGCGAAAGCAAUAAACACACCGCCUGGGGAGUACGACCGCANGGUUAAAACUCAAAUGAAUUGACGGGNACCCGCACAGUAGUGAGCAUGUG